UUCCCUUUAAUUUGGGUGGGCUUGUGACUGUUUCAAACAAUAGAGUACAGCAAAAGUGAUGUGUGACUUUUGUGGCUGGAUCAAAACAGGUGAUGCGUCUUCUGUGUUGAUUCCUUUAAUAGUCACAAUUGGAGCCCUGAACUGCGAUGUCAGAAGUCUUUCUACUCUUAGGCCACCAGACUAUGAAGAACAGCAGUCUUGGUGUUCCUGUUAUCCCAGCCCAGGGGCCAGACAUAUAAGAAAAUAUGCCCGAGCUAACAGCGUCUAUAGAAUUUUGAGAGACAAGAGCUACUUCUAAUUGGAGGACUUUGUUGGGUGUGUCAUCAUCUACCACACAACAAGAAUGGAAACAUUUAUGAAUGACUCAAAGAAUUAAUAGAUCCAAGCUUGCCAACUCCUUGAUAACAGGUAAAACUAUUUUCUUGCCUUAAGUUUUGCACCCUUGUAGUAUAUACAAUAAAAAAAGAGGAAAGAAACUCA
rnacentral:lncRNA from 13 species